rnacentral:rRNA from 1 species
CACGGGGGGAGCAAGCGUUGUUCGGAUUCAUUGGGCGUAAAGGGCUCGUAGGUGGCUUUGUAAGUCGGAGGUGAAAUCCCACGGCUCAACCGUGGACACGCCUUCGAAACUGUGAAGCUUGAGGCUGGGAGAGGAAAUCGGAAUUCCUGGUGUAGCGGUGAAAUGCGUAGAUAUCAGGAGGAACACCGGUGGCGAAGGCGGAUUUCUGGACCAGUUCUGACACUGAUGAGCGAAAGCUAGGGGAGCAAACAGG